rnacentral:snRNA from 13 species
GUUCAGGAGCACGGGCUUUACGCAUAGCAGUGAAGAUUCGUCUGAGCUUGCGUUUUUGCUAGUUGAAAACUAUCAAGUGCUUGCUAUCUGCCUUCAAUGAGCAUGAAAGCCAUGGCCUGCUUGGC